AUCACAGGACAUCCUGUCUCAGUUAGCCCACCUCCACACCCACAUCCUCCAAUCAGGCCUGCCCCAGGCCACCUACUCCUCACUGCGAGUCCAGUCCCUGUCUCUGAAUGCUGAGUCACACACCCGAUGGGCCGAGCUGGCUGUCUGAACAGGCUGCCUCUGCAGACGCAUCCGAGUGGCCCACACAAAGGAGAGUCUUGGAAUCACCUCUACACAGGGCAGUAGCUGGAUUGGGAUCUGGUUGUGCCUAAAAUCUGGUGACAUUGCCAUGCGUGCCUCUCUGCCUCCCUGCCACUGUACAGGAGGGGAUGCUGAGGCACAGGGACGUGAAGUGACCUGCCUAAGUGACACGGCCGGCAAGUGGCAGAGCCAGGCCCCGAACCUAGGCAUGCAGAGUCUGGGGCACACGCCCAGCCAUGCUUCUGGCUCUGCCUGUACCUGGCUGACAGAAUGGAGCCCAUCAAAGAGCAGCCAGACUCCGAGUGCUGUUUCCGCUGUCUGGGGAGCAGAAUGGAAAGGAGCUAAACUUUUGCUCUCACCUUAUCUGCCCAGAAAGGGAAAAUAAAUGCCGACAAGACGGGGCGGAGAGGUCAACGGGAGGCUGCUGUUUUUCCAGCUGCGAAGAGGCCACUUCCUCCAGCCUCCCUGAGCCAACCCUGGGCUGGCCGCAAAGAGCCAAGACAAUGUGUGAUCAUUGUGGGAAAAUCAGGGAACACAGGGAGCAAAAGAAAAUAAAGAUCAGUCGUAACCCUUGUCA